rnacentral:rRNA from 1 species
CCUACGGGCGGCUGCAGUGGGGAAUAUUGGACAAUGGGGGCAACCCUGAUCCAGCCAUGCCGCGUGUGUGAAGAAGGCCCUCGGGUUGUAAAGCACUUUCAGUGAGGAAGAACGCCUGGUGGUUAAUACCCAUCAGGAAAGACAUCACUCACAGAAGAAGCACCGGCUAACUCCGUGCCAGCAGCCGCGGUAAUACGGAGGGUGCGAGCGUUAAUCGGAAUUACUGGGCGUAAAGCACGCGUAGGUGGCUUGAUAAGCCGGUUGUGAAAGCCCCGGGCUCAACCUGGGAACGGCAUCCGGAACUGUCAAGCUAGAGUGCAGGAGAGGAAGGUAGAAUUCCCGGUGUAGCGGUGAAAUGCGUAGAGAUCGGGAGGAAUACCAGUGGCGAAGGCGGCCUUCUGGACUGACACUGACACUGAGGUGCGAAAGCGUGGGUAGCAAACAGGAUUAGAUACCCUGGUAGUC